CAUCCUGAACUCAGGCGUGACUACCCGCUGAACUUAAGCAUAUCAGUAAGCGGAGGAAAAGAAACUAACAAGGAUUCCGUUAGUAACGGCGAGUGAACACGGAAAAGCCCAGCGCAGAAUCUCCCGUCCUUUGGGCGUGGCGAAGUGUUGCGUAUAGGCGUAACUGGCUUGUGUUGCCGCGGUCUGAAGUUUGCUGGAACGCAACUUCCGGAGAGGGUGUAAGACCCGUUCGGACUGUGGUAGCGCGAGCUGGCUUGCGUCUUGGAGUCGAGUUGCUUGAGAUUGCAGCUCAAAGUGGGUGGUAUACCACAUCCAAGGCUAAAUACGGCCACGAGACCGAUAGCGAACAAGUACCGUGAGGGAAAGUUGAAAAGAACUUUGAAGAGAGAGUUCAAGAGGACGUGAAACCACUGGUGGCGAAGCGGAUAGAGUUGAUGAAACCGGAAGCAUUCAACUUCGGGUGCUGCCGCGGCGGCGGUGAGUGGGCUAGUCGAAAGGCUGGUUGCUUGCUGUCGUUAGCGCGGCCCGUUGUGCAUUUGCGCUCGGUAUACGCUGAGGCGCUUGCUUUCCCCUUCUGAAGCUGUUGGCGUUGCCCAGUCUAGGCUGGUGUCUUGUCAGUGGUGGAGGUUGUUUGUGGAGGGUAAGUGUGCGAAAGCGCGGGUUCUGCCGUUGCGCGGUUGCUUGCUAGCGUGCGUUCGGUCGGUGCGGAGGCUUGCCUCUUGUGUCGGCUGUGGCGUACGUGUUGUGGGCGGCUGCGAGUUGGACUCGUUCUCGGUGUGAAAAGUCGACCACCUAUCCGACCCGUCUUGAAACACGGACCAAGAAGUCUAGUAAUUGCGCGAGUCAUUGGGUGUAAAACCUAUUGGCGAAAUGAAAGUAAAGGCAUCCUUGCGGUGCUGACAUGUGAUCCGUUUGUCUUCGGACUUGCGGCGCAACAUGGCCCCAUGCCGAUUGCUUGCAAUGGUGUGGCGGUAGAGCGUAAUUACUGCGACCCGAAAGAUGGUGAACUAUGCCUGAGCAGGAUGAAGCCAGAGGAAACUCUGGUGGAAGUCCGAAGCGGUUCUGACGUGCAAAUCGAUCGUCUGACUUGGGUAUAGGGGCGAAAGACUAAUCGAACCUUCUAGUAGCUGGUUCCCUCCGAAGUUUCCCUCAGGAUAGCGAAGUUUCCCCCAGGAUAGCUGGAGCAUAAUGCAGUUAUAUUCGGUAAAGCGAAUGAUUAGAGGAAUUGGGGACGAAAUGUCCUCAACCUAUUCUCAAACUUUCAAUGGGUAUGAUGUCUCGGUUUCUUUAUUGAACUGUUGACAUGAAAGCGAGCUCCAAGUGGGCCAUUUUUGGUAAGCAGAACUGGCGAUGCGGGAUGAACCGAACGUUGGGUUAAGGUGCCUAACUUCCCGCUCAUGAGACCCCAUGAAAGGCGUUGGUUGAUAUAGACAGCAGGACGGUGGCCAUGGAAGUCGGAAACCGCUAAGGAGUGUGUAACAACUCACCUGCCGAAUCAACUAGCCCUGAAAAUGGAUGGCGCUUGAGCGGGAGACCUAUACCCGACCGUUGUUGGCUUGUACGUUUGCGCGUCCGGCCUCAACGAGUAGGAGGGUUACAGCGGUAAGCGUAGAAGGCUUCAGGCGUAGGCCUAGCUGGAGCUACCGUUGGUGCAGAUCUUGGUGGUAGUAGCAAAUAUUCAAGUGAGAUCCUUGAAGACUGAAGUGGAGAAGGGUUCCACGUGAACAGUAGUUGAAUGUGGGUCAGUCGAUCCUAAGAUACUGGCUAAUGCCUUGUAUCAUCGAGAGGGCGUGCCUUCGGGUGUGUUCUCGUCGGUCGAAAGGGAAACGGGUUAAUAUUCCCGUACCUGAACACGGAGAUUGGUGCUCGCAAGAGUGCCUUGAGCGGUAACGCAAACGAACUCGGUGACAUUGAGUAAAGCCCGAGCCAGAGAUCUCUUUUCUGGUUAAGGAACGGACUCCCUGGAAACGGUUCAGCCGGAGAUAGGGACGUUGUUUCCGUAAAGCGCCGCGGUUUUUGUGGCGUCUCGUGUGCAUUACUCGAUCCUUGAAAAGCCGAGGUAGUCGCAAUAAAUCUCGUGUCAGAUCGUACCGAUAUCCGCAGCAGGUCUCCAAGGUGAAGAGCCUCUAGUCGAUAGAAUAAUGUAGAUACGGGAAGUCGGCAAAUUUGAUCCGUAACCUAGGGAAAAGGAUUGGCUCUAAGGACUGAGGCGUUCGGGCUUUGCUAUGAAGCUUGUGCGACUGUGGUGUUAUUGGGCAAGGCGCUUGCGCUGAGUCCGAUAGUGCUGCGGUUGCCUUGUGGACUUGCUUAGCUGUGCUGCGUGCUUUCGGGUGCGUAUGCUUCGGGCGUCGCGUAACAGUCGACUUAGAACUGGUACGGACUCGGGGAAUCCGACUGUCUAAUUAAAACAGAGGAGACAGAUGGUCCUUGCGGACGUUUACUGUCUCUGAUUUCUGCCCAGUGCUCUGAAUGUCAAUGUGAAGUAAUUCACACAAGCGCG